rnacentral:rRNA from 1 species
UACGUAGGCAGCGAGCGUUGUUCGGAGUUACUGGGCGUAAAGGGUGUGUAGGCGGUUCUUUAAGUUUGGUGUGAAAUCUCCCGGCUCAACCGGGAGGGUGCGCCGAAUACUGAGGGACUCGAGUGCGGGAGAGGAAAGUGGAAUUCCUGGUGUAGCGGUGAAAUGCGUAGAUAUCAGGAGGAACACCGGUGGUGUAGACGGCUUUCUGGACCGUAACUGACGCUGAGACACGAAAGCGUGAGUAGCAAACAGG